CAAAAAUGCCAGGAAAGCAUAUUGUGCAGUGUGUGUGAGGGUGUUGUGUGUGUAUGUGAGGGGUGCAGUGUGUGUGAGGUGUGUAGUGUGUUAGUGAUGGGUGCUGUGUUUGCGUGAGGGUGCUAUGUGGGUAAGGGUGCUGUGUGUGUGUUCUGUGUGUGAUUGGGUGCUGUGUUUGCGUGAGGGUGCCAUGUGCGUUUGAGGAAGCUGUGUGUGUCAGUGGUGCAGUGUGUGUGUGUGUGUUGGUGUUGUAAGUGUUAAGGGUGCAGUGAGUGUGUGCUGUGCGUGUCAGAGGUGCAGUGAGUGUGUGCUGUGCGUGUCAGGGGUGCAGUGAGUGUGUGUGUGUGUGUGUGAGGGUGCUGUAAGUGUUAGGGGUGCAGUGUGUGUGUGCUGUAAGUGUCAGGGGUGCAGUGUGUGUGUGUGUGUGAGGGUGCUGUAAGUGUUAGGGGUGCAGUGUGUGUCUGCUGUGAGUGUCAGGGGUGCAGUGUGUGUGUGUGAGUGAGGGUGCUGUGAGUGUCAGGGGUGCAGUGUGUGUGUGUGCUGUGAGUGUCAGGGGUGCAGUGUGUGUGAGUGUGUGUGAGGGUGCUGUAAGUGUUAGGGGUGCAGUGUGUGUGUGCUGUGAGCGUCAGGGGUGCAGUUUAUGUGAGUGUGUGAAGGUGCUGUAAGUGUUAGGGGUGCAGUGUGUGUGUAUG